rnacentral:tRNA from 1 species
GGCGCUAUAGCCAAGUGGUUACGGCGACAGAUUAGAAUCCUACAAUUGCUGAGCUUAUCUGUUCCUCUUUGAGGGCGCAGGUUCAAAUCCUGCUGGUGUCG